AAUAAUGAUGUAAGAGACCGUGAUAGAGAGCGCGGUUCAGAGCAGGCCCGCAUUUCUGCUAAAUCAUAGGACUCUAUUGACAUAAUGCAAUGCAAGAUUCCCUUGAGGAGAAGUUGUUGAGAUUCAGCCACUAGUGGAAGAAAUUAAAGAAAGGUGGCCUGGACUUUUUUUAAAG